CCAAUAGCGUAUAUUAAAGUUGUUGCAGUUAAAAAGCUCGUAGUUGAAUUUCGGGAUCAAUAUAUCGGUCGUGCCUUGGUACGUACUGGUAUCAUUGGUUUCUCCUUUCUGACGAACCAUGAUGUCAUUAAUUUGGUGUUAUGGGAAGUUAGGACUGUUACUUUGAAAAAAUUAGAGUGUUUAAAGCAGGCUUUGGCUUGAAUACAUUAGCAUGGAAUAAUGAAAUAGGACGUUCGAACAUAUUUUGUUGGUCUCUAGGAUCAACGUAAUGAUUAAUAGGGAUAGUUGGGGGCAUUAGUAUUCAAUUGUCAGAGGUGAAAUUCUUGGAUUUAUUGAAGACUAACUACUGCGAAAGCAUUUGCCAAGGAUGUUUUCAUUAAUCAAGAACGAAAGUUAGGGGAUCGAAGACGAUCAGAUACCGUCGUAGUCUUAACCAUAAACUAUGCCGACUAGGGAUCGGAUGAUGUUAAUUUUUUAAUGACUCAUUCGGCGCCUUACG
rnacentral:rRNA from 1 species